rnacentral:piRNA from 1 species
UAAGGCAAGCACAGCAUCGAAUAAAGGA